CGUGCACACGUGUGUCCAUGCAUGAGGCGGUGUGUGCAGCCCUGGGCGUAACACGUGUGCACCCUUUGCUCUCUGGCGUGUGCUGCACACCGUGCGGACCAGCGCCGGUGUCCCCGGCGUCUCUGAGGACGCGUGACUCGUGUGUCCCUGUGUGCGUCCGUCUUCGCACCCCGCACCCAUCCCGCUGGGGCGGUUGGUUCCGCAGGAAGCUGUUGGGGUGCGGAUGGAGGUGCUGCGCCUCCCCGCUGCACCCCACUCCUCCUCCCGGAGACACGGGCAGGCCCCCCCCCGGGGCGAGGGUGGACGGGGACCCUGUCUUCUGCGCUCUCCUCGGACCCCUGUGCACACAGCUGGCGCGGAGAGGCGGUUGAGGAAGAGGAAGUAGAGGGCAGAGCUGGGUCACGCCGUGGCUACACCAGGCUGCGGCAGCCGGUGCUGCCUUGGGCUCCCCAGGAGCCCUGGCCGAGGGUCAUGGGGGCCACAGAAGCUGGCAGCCCGGCCGGAGACCCAGGCCACCGUGGGCCAGGAGCUGUGUGGUUCUGAGCCCAAGUCAUGUGUCCAGCCCUUUGAUUCUGGAGCUGCAGCCUUGGCCACCAAGAGUAGCCGUGAGCCCUGGAGACCCGAGGACCCAGACGUUUUCUCCAUCAUGCAGGAUGAGCAGGAAGAUGAUUUUGCAGAACAGCUCAGCAAGAGCGCGGAGGACCUCAGCCUGGAUUGGGGGGCCCUGCAGGACAGCGAGUAUCUCCAGGACCUGGGCCUGGCGGCCUCUUCCCCCUGCCUGCCCGGUGGGGCCGCGGACAGCAGCUCCCCGAAGACAGAAACUGAGAGAGACGCGCCCUUCUCCAGCUCGGAUGGGGCCCAGACUCUGGUGCAGAGGCGCAGCUGGGAGCGGUCGCGGAGCUGCUCCGAGGACUGGCGGAGGUCUGGGCGGGGACGGGCCGGGGCGGGGCGGGACCCCCGCGCGGACCCAGGAGGCGCCUUAGACAGCGGAGUCCGGAGGACAGAGCCAGCUUCCGGGAAGCGCUUCGGGCUUGCACGACGGUUGUCCAGCUCCAGGGCCACCAGGAGGGCUACCUCAAGCAUGUGUUUGCACACUCACGUGGUCGCACAAACACGCGUGUUCACACACUAG
rnacentral:lncRNA from 1 species